AUUGGAUUAAGAGGGAACAUGAGAUGGGAGGAUAGGAGGGAGAAGUAACAAAAGUGAAAACAAAAACUAAAAACUGAAAUAUAUUUUAAAUUAUUUUCAUUUUUGUUACUCCUCCCUACCAUCCUCCCCUCUCAUCCUCUCUUUCAAUCUCA
rnacentral:miRNA from 1 species